rnacentral:rRNA from 1 species
AUUGAACGCUGGCGGCAGGCCUAACACAUGCAAGUCGAACGAGUGGCGGACGGGUGAGUAAUGUCUGGGAAACUGCCUGAUGGAGGGGGAUAACUAAUGGAAACGGUAGCUAAUAACGCCUACCAUCAGAUGGGUCCAGAUGGGAUGAGCUAGGUGGGGGGGUAACGGCUCACCAAGGCGACGAUCCUUAGCUGGGCUGGGAGGAUGACCAGCCACACUGGAACUGAGACACGGUCCAGACUCCUACGGGAGGCAGCAGUGGGGAAUAUUGGACAAUGGGCGAAAGCCUGAUGCAGCCAUGCCGCGUGUGUGAAGAAGGCCUUCGGGUUGUAAAGUACUUUCAGUGGGGAGGCGUUACCCGCAGAAGAAGCACCGGCUAACUCCGUGCCAGCAGCCGCGGUAAUAC